rnacentral:rRNA from 1 species
UACAGAGGUCUCAAGCGUUGUUCGGAUUCAUUGGGCGUAAAGGGUGCGUAGGCGGCGGGGCAAGUCUGGUGUGAAAUCCCGGGGCUCAACCCCGGAACUGCACUGGAUACUGCCUUGCUAGAGCACUGGAGAGGGAACUGGAAUUUACGGUGUAGCAGUGAAAUGCGUAGAUAUCGUAAGGAAGACCAGUGGCGAAGGCGAGUUCCUGGACAGUUGUUGACACUGAGGCACGAAGGCUAGGGGAGCAAACGGG